rnacentral:rRNA from 1 species
AACGUAGGACGCAAGCGUUAUCCGGAGUUACUGGGCGUAAAGGGCGUGUAGGUGGUUUCGUAAGUCUGGCGUGAAAUUUUUCGGCUUAACCGGGAAAGGUCGUCGGAUACUGCAGAACUAGAGGACGGUAGAGGCGUGUGGAAUUCCGGGUGUAGUGGUGAAAUGCGUAGAGAUCCGGAGGAACACCAGUGGCGAAGGCGACACGCUGGGCCGUACCUGACACUGAUGCGCGACAGCAUGGGGAGCAAACAGG